CUUUAUGGCGGGCCGUGCGGGCAACCUUCGGGUUGGCCGGUUUUUCUUUUUUGCCCGGUAUUUGUGACCCCGCACAGCCCGUCUCCCUA
rnacentral:antisense_RNA from 1 species